UCAACAUUUCCAAAUUUAUAACAAACAUUAGAGAUGCAUCCUCUCCCAAAACCUACUUGAGAAAACUCUCUCACUCCCCUAUGUAGAUUUAAUUCAUGCAGAAAUCAGGCACCAAACACAUAUAUGGUCAGCUAUAUAUCAGCCAAACAGUUUGCUAAAGUAAAAAUAACGAAGAGAACAAGGUAGAUUGAGUAACCACCAAAAAUAGAAUAACAGUUGGGAAAUAAAAAGAAAAGCACAUACUACUCUAAUAAUGCCAUCUAAGGAAGUAAAUGGUGUUCACAAUGCAACAAGAACCAAAAAUAUAGAGAGAAAGAGUACCUCUUUCAAUCCAGGACGCCAAGGAGGAAGGUUAUUA
rnacentral:lncRNA from 1 species